UGAGUCUAUUAAAAAUAAAGCUGAUGUGAACUCUCUAUUUCUCUCAGGCAAAUUUCCUAGGAGUGUAGUGGCUGGGUCAUUUAGUAGGCGUGUGUAUAACUUUACAAGAAACUACUUGGGAUAUUGGGACUUAGAAUCAGAAAUACGUAUUUGGUCUUUGUUCCUCUCAGUUGCUGGCACAGAGCUCCUAAACUCUUGGAAUUUCCUAAGUGAAGAGAAUGAUAGAGGUGCCUUUGUUAACAGGUGACUUUUUUGGAAAACCCCUGGGUAACCUAAGGAUAGGCUAGUUGCCUGGGGAACCAAUGAUGACUAACAGGUCGAACUUUCAGUCCUACUCCAACUUCCUGGGAGGACAGAGGGGCUGAAGGUUGAGUUCAAUCACAGGGGGCCAGUGAUUUAAUCAACCAUGCCUAUGUGACAAAGCCUGACUACAAUUCCAAAAAGACAAGGUUUAGAGAGCUUCGGGAUUGGUUAACGCAUGGAGAUUGGUGGAGCGUGGAGCUCUCAGAGGGCAUGGACGUUCUAUGCCCCUUUCCCCAUACCUUGCCCUUUGCCAGACUUUGCCUGGAUUCCCUCUCUGUAUCACGGCCUACAAUCUCUGUCCAGGCAUUAAGUUGGGGUACACGAAGAACUCACCACACCUGUUUCCCAUCUAUCAGCGAUCACUCUCCUUUGUUUUCUAAUAUCCAUUGUCUUGAAAAUCAUUGAUUCAUGUCUUUCACCUGAAUGUUUGGUUAUUUCAGGAGGGAAGGUCAAUAAACUCCCAGUUAUUCCAUUUUGACUGGAACAACAGAAGUCUAAAGUAACAAUUUGAAAACAAAUACAGAACAACACAAAUAUUUUUUAAUUAAGGCCAUAGCAAUAAGUCUAGGUCUCCCUGAUUUUGACUCCAAGAGGGCUGCACUAUUCUGACUCCUACUGGAGAGUCUCUGCUCCCACUCAUCUCUGAUUCUUUACCUCCCAUGUCUUGUUGAGAACUCAGUCUAUCUUUUAGAAAAUGCCCUGUACCUUCUUCCCACCGUAGGGCAAUGGACAACCACAAAUCAAGGCAUACGAAGAUGAUUCUUCAUAAACAUUCUAAUUUUGAGAAAACAGUUUGUUACAUUACUUUUAUAUACUGAUCUAUGUCCACCUGCUUGUGUGAAUAUACUGUUAUCUGAAGAUUUGUUCAGCAAACCUUUGCAGUGCACACAUUUACGAGUUACACAAUAUAGCAGUACUAUCAGAGGAGCAAGAGUUUAAACAAAAGUUGACAACAGAAUUGUAAAUGGAGAAAAAAAUUUUUUUCUAAAAGUAAAGGAGGUCCAUAUGUGAGAUGCAUAUGAAAGAUGUAUUUUCUCACUGAAAAAAUAAAAUGGAGUUCACCAGAAAACUUUUUAAGAGUUAAUAAACAAGUUCAGCCAGGUUGCAAGACACAAGAUCAAUAAAAAAAAGUCAAUUGUAUUUCUACAUAUUAGCAAUAGACAGUCUAAAAAUGACAUUAAGAGGAGUUCUAGCUGUAACACAAUGGAAUUGGCAGCAUCUCUGAAGCACUGGGUUGAAGGUUCAAUCCCUGGCCUGGCACAGUGCGUUAAGCAUCUGGUGACCUACGCCAUGGCUAAGCUGUGGCGUAGGUUGCAAUUGCAGCUCAGAUCCUAUCCCUGGCCCAGAAACUCCAUAUUCCAUGGGGCAGCCAACAAAGAAAAAGAUAAAAAUUAAGAAAAUUGAAAAUGACAUUAAGAAAAGAUCUCUACUUACAAUGGAAUCAAAAAGAAUAAAAUCUUAGCAAGGAAUUAACUGAAGAAGUUCAAGAACUUGUGCAGAACUAACAUUGUUGAAAGAAAUUAAAGACAUAAAUACAUGGAAAGGCAUCACAUGUUCAUGGAUCAGAAGAUUAAAUACUGUUAAGAUGAGCAUACUUCUCAAGCUGAGCUACAGAUUUAACAUAAUCCCUAUUUGUUUCUCCAAAAAGAUAUACAAAUGACCAAUGAGCACAUGAAAAAAUGCUCUUUAUUAAUCACGAGUAUGUAAAUCGAAAGUAUGAAUUACAGUGCAAUUCCACUGCAAACCCACCAGGACAGCUACAAUCAAAAAGAUGUAACAAGGAACAGAUAACAAGGAUGCAAAUAAAUUGGGACACUCACACAUUGCUGAAGGGAUUGUAAAAUGGUGCAGCCCCUGUAGAAAAAGUUUUCCAGUUACCAUGUGAUCUAGCAAUUCUACUCUAAGGUAUAUGUUCAAGAAAAUUAAAAAUACACGUCCACACAAAAAACGUGUAUAUUAAUGUUCACAGCAACAUUACUCAUAAAAGCCCAAAAGCAGAAACAACCCAAAUGUCCAUCAAAUGAUGCAUGGGUAAACAAAAUAUGGUAUAUUCCUUUAAUGGAAUGUCAUUUAGCAAUAAAAAUAGUAGUACUGAUAUAUAUUACAAAAUGAAUGAACCUUGAAAACUAUGCUAAAUGAAGAAAGCCCAUCACGGAGUUCCCAUCGUGGCACAGUGGUUAACGAAUCCGACUAGGAACCAUGAGGUUGCGGGUUCAGUCCCUGCCCUCGCUCAGUGGGUUAACGAUCCGGCGUUGCUGUGAGCUGUGGUGUAGGUUGCAGACGCGGCUCGGAUCCCGCGUUGCUGUGGCUCUGGCGUAGGCCAGUGGCUACAGCUCCGAUUAGACCCCUAGCCUGGGAACCUCCAUAUGCUGCGGGAGCAGCCCAAGAAAUAGCAAAAAAGACAAAAAAAAAAAAAAAAAAAAAAAAAAAAAAAGAAAGCCCAUCACAAAAGUCCACAGGUAUAAUUCCAUUUAUAUGAAAUGUCCAGAACAAGAAAAUCCAUAGAGACAGAAAGCAGAUUUAUGGUUGCCACAGGCUGAGAGGUGAGGAAAAUGGGGACUAACUGCUAAUAGGUACAAUUUUUGAGAGCAGAUGGAGAUGUUCUAAAAUUAGAUCAUGGUAAUGGUUGCACUACUCUCUGACUAUACUAAAAACCAUGAAAUUGUGCACUUUAUUAAUUUUUUAAUUAUUUAUUUAUUUAUUUUUGUCUUUUCUAGGGCCGCACCCUCGGCAUAUGGAGGUUCCCAGGCUAGGGGUUUAAUCAGAGCUAUAGACACUGGCCUACGCCACUGCCACAGCAAUGCCAGAUCCGAGUCUCAUCUGCAACCUACACCACAGCUCAUGGCAAUGCUGGAUCCUUAACCCAGUGAGUGAGGCCAGGGAUCGAACCUUCAACCUCAUGGUUUCUAGUUGGAUUCGUUAACCACUGAGCCAAGACGGGAACUCCGAAAUUGUGCACUUUAAAAGGGUGAAUUUUAUGGCAUGUGAAUUACACUUCAAUAGAGUUGUUAUAAUAAAUAAAAUAAUGUUUAAUUAUUUGAAAUAAACUCAAAAAGCUAAAAUUGAAUGUAUUUCACAAUUUGCCUUCAAAUCUACUACAAGGUUUGGUUUCAUAAAGUGACUAACAUUUUCUUGUGUUCAAAAUCUACUAGUUUUUGGAGUUCCCAUCGUGGCUCAGUGAAAAUGAAUCUGACUAGGAACUAUGAGGUUGUGGGUUAGAUCCCUGGCCUCGCUCAGUGGGUUAAGGAUCUAGCAUUGCUGUGGCUGUGGUGUAGACUGGCAGCUACAGCUCUAAUUGGACCUCUAGACUGGGAGCCUCCAUAUGCCACGGGUGCUGCCCUAAAAAGAUUAAAAAAGAAAAAAAAAUAAUCUACUAUGUUUUCAAUCAACACAAUCAGUGUUGCUCUCCGUUUCCUCAAUUAGCAAAAUUUAAAAUAUUUAGACUGAUUUGGUAAUAGAAUAAGCUUAUUGGGUAUUAUUCUUCUAGGAAAAAUAUCUGUAAUUUUUCUAAUAACUCAGUCUUCUAACUAUCCACCUUUAUAAAGAUCUUAUCCAUUGUUAAUCUAAGAUACAAAAGUGGAAAAUGUAGAGUGCCAGGGAAAAGUAAAACAUAAUGCCAGUAGAGUGAGAAAAAUAUACGAGGGUAUGAACUUUCUACUUGGGUUUUUUUUUUUUUAAUUUAAUUUUAUUUUAUGGCCACACCCACAGUCUAUGAAUCUGAGCUGCAGUUGUGGCCUAAAUGGCAGCUGCAGCAAUGCUGGAUCCUUUUAACCCACUGUGCCACCAGACCAAGGAUUGAACCCAUGCCGCUGCAGUGACCUGAGCCACUGCAGUCAGAUUCUUAACCCAAUGCACCAUGGCAGGAACUCCUCAAUUUAUUUUAAUAUGUUUUCUUUCUUUGCAUUAAACACAUUCGAGGGAAGAAAGCCCUUCUCAUUCUCUUGAGAACAGAAUGAACAAGCUAUUUCCCUAACUUGUGUAAAGAUGCAUCACUAGCCCAUAGGCUAUUAAUGUAAGUAUAGGUUUUAAUGGGCCAUUGAGUUAUGCUAUGAAAGAAAUUUAAGAAAAGGACAUUUGAUUUGUGUGACUAAAUAAAAAAAAUAGCUGAAGCCACGUAGGGAGAGGUGAGAUAGGGGCUGGUGCAUGGGAUAUCAACAUAGGAAUAAAAUGUCGUAGAAAGUAGGAGCGUAGUGCCCAAGAAGCACCCAAUGAGUGGGCUCCCAGGAUUACUGGGAGGGCUUACUGGCCAGCCAGUAGCCAUAGCCUUCACAAAGGUAAACUCCAGGCCUCUGCACACACCUACUCUCUUGGCUGCCGUGCUGGCAGGCCUCCAGCUUGACAGCUGACUUCAGCUGAGUACAGAGGUUUCAUCCAAUGGCUUAAGUCUUGUCAAGGUCCCAGUAGGGCCUUAGGCACCUACCAGAGGGACAAGGGUGCUAAGCCAAGAAAAAGCCAUAUUCCCUGUACCACUGUGAUAUGCAAUGAUGUCCCUUCCUAAAACAUGAAAAGAGAAAACAAAGAAGAAAAGUCUUAAAUGAUGCAUUUAGCUAGCUUACUGAAUUGAUUAUUUACCUAUAGUCUCUCAACCCCCAAUUGACCCUUUUAUAGCUUCCAGUAUGGAUGCCAGGACUAGGACUCUGCAAGUCACGUUUCCCAGAUCCUUUUGCCCGCUGGCCGUCCAAUUUUGCCAUGAGGGGGCACGAGAGGGAGACUGGAAGGUGUGAGAAAGAGUGAGGGAUUCUUUCCUGACUUUUUUCCUGUUCCCAGCUGUAUCCACCCAGUUUGUUUCAGCACCCCCACCUUUACUUCCCUCUCACAGGUCUCAGAUGCUGGGUCCCCAGCUCCAGAGGGGCCCUUCCUCCUCGGAGGUGAACGACAAUCCCAAUAACCUCCCUUCCAUUUACCACGAGGUGGC
rnacentral:lncRNA from 1 species